ACACAAUCCAACAAAGUAAAUAUGGUUAUGGGGGCUUUUUCCUUUAACUAUAUUUAUUUUAUUAACCCCCCUUUAUGGAUGAAUUAUUUUGGCAAGAACUGCGGGGCGAAUUAUUUCACCCGCAGUGUUUUGCCAAUCUUUUUUUUUUUCAACAUUUUUUAAACCCAACCCCAUUCUAAUACUAUACUAUUGUCUAAUAUAAUGCCAAAAAUAUUCAAUUAAGAAAA
rnacentral:misc_RNA from 1 species